CGAUCACUCAAGUUCACCCAUCACUGUCCAGGCACUAUGGUUCAUAUUCCAUGCUCAAACCAGCAGACAUCAAGGACCCAGGCUUUUAUGAAACCAGGACCAGAUGUCAGCCAGCCACAGCCUCAAUUAAUCUCCAAGGCCUUGUAACAAGCCCCGAGAAGAAACUCAAAACAAUCUUUGGGUGCGUAGGUCUAGGAGGACAGAGAGGCAGAGAUGGUGAGAGGGAAGCGAGGGUGAGAGAUGCUAUCCAGGGAGCACGGAGCCUGGCUAGCGAGCCUGCACAAGGGGAGAUAAGAAGGGGCGGCUGGGCGGUGGUGGAGCCUGGGUCACAGAGAAGAGGCUGGGGUUAUUCAUUGCCUUGCCGUGAAAGCUUGAGAAGAUUACCCAGGGCCUGGCUGGCAGUGAUACCGAGGGAGCGGACAGGCAGAGCAGUGGGGGGCCCCCUUUCACCCCCUUUGUUCCCAUCCAUCUGCUUGGAUCUUACAAUGGCUCAUAGAGACAGGGGGCUGGAGGGGUGCAGCCUGCAAGAAAGAGGGACCGACCUGAUGGAAAGCGGUGUACCAGGGAGAGUGAAACCAAGAAAGGGAGGGGAGAAGAGAUAGAGGAGGACAGGAUACACAACGAAUGAGGACUCAAGCACACGGCUUGUUGAGAUUGAAUGAAUGGCGCUGCAGCUGACAAGCUCUGACAUACUACAUUGGGAGAGGCGAUGGAGGCGGGUGUUUACAUUGUCUUUUUCCGGGCCGGUAAUGGGCUAGCAGCUCCUCUUCACUCUGUAUAAUCAGUACUUUGGAUAGACUCAGACGCCUCUUCAAACCAUGAUAAAUAAACUACUCCAAAACCUUUGCGACUGAGAGGACAGCAUUUGUCUGUCAAUGUGUUGACCACUGUAUUCAUCUUGUUGAGGAAUGAUCAGAUGAUAAAGGAGUUGUGUCCUGUAAAAUGUUGUCCAGACAAACUAUACCUCCACUCACAACAAAAGGGUUUUGUCCUUUGAUUAUCUAUGUUCCACUUGUAGAAUAGCAGACAGGUUUAAAGUGGUAAGCAUUGUUAGGAAGAGUGUUUAUGGUCGUUGCAUUGCAUUGACAAUGGGGUGGAAUAUUACUUUGGUAAUACCUCAUGAGUAAGUUUAUUAAUGAUGAAAUAUGGAAAUGUAUUACUACUGUGGUCUAUGGAUGGAUGCCAAGAGGAAUAUGUGUGUGUGUGUACGUGUGUGUACAGAUGUAGGAUCUUUAUUUGAGCCAGUUUGCUACUGUCACGUCCUGACCAGUAAAGGGGUUAUUUGUAAAUGUAAAUUUGUUAUUGUAAGUAUGGUCAGGACGUGGCAGGGGGUGUUUGUUUUAGGUGUUUCGGGGUUUUUUGGUCAGUGUUCUAUGUUAGUCUAUUUCUAUGUCUGUGUCUAGUUUAUCUAUUUCUAUGCUUAGUUUAUUGGUUUGACCUUCAAUUGGAGACAGCUGUUUCUCGUUGCCUCUAAUUGAAGGUCCUAUUUAGUAGGGGUGUUUUUUCAUGGGUUUUUGUGGGUAGUUGUUCCAUGUGUAUGCCUCACAGGACUGUUUUUUCGUCGUCGUUGUUUUCAUUUAAGUGUUUGUUUUGGUUUUCUUCACAAUAAAGAAGAUGAGCAUACACAUUCCCGCUGCGCCUUGGUCCCAUCUUUACGACGAGCGUGACAGCUACAGCAGGAAAAUAAUCCUGCAGCGAAAGGAAAUUAUUAUGUGAAUUAUAAUUAAUGGAAAAAUGUGUAGGGGUUGAUACAUUUUUCAUAAGGGCAAAUCAAGUCUGACAUUUUAAAGUGGAAAUGACAAACUUUAGAAUACUUUUUAAACCUUGAAUACACUUCAAGUUUGCAUUUCCUCAGCAAAAAAAUCAUCAAAUUAAGAUCCUAUAUCUGUAGGUGGUAAUGCCUUUGAGCUUGUUUUUUGCUCUUACUUUUUUAAGAAGAUAACUCACCAUGAACUGCCGCUGUACAGUAAUUCAUGACUCACUGAAUAUAUUAGAGAAAGAAUAGAUGUUGUAUUGCUGAGGAUAAGGCAAUCUUCCUUAUGAAAGUGUGAUCUCUGAUAAAAGGUUAUAUUGCUGUUGCAGUCUAAUCUUAUUAUUAAAAGUGGUGUUGAUAUA
rnacentral:lncRNA from 1 species